AACCGCAUAGCUCAGUUGGCAGAGCAUUGGGCUAGCAUUCCAAAGUUCGUAGGUUCGAUUCCCACUGUGGUCA
rnacentral:tRNA from 1 species